rnacentral:lncRNA from 1 species
UUUAAAUACAUCUAUACCUAAAUAGCAAUCUUAGCUUCUUGGGGUAUUAGGAUUUAUGUAAGGUCCACUCUGGGGCAGUAACUCACAAUGUAAUAAUAAGCUAUAAAUUACCUUGUCACCCUUGUAUAUGAAAUUGUCUUGUUUUGUAUCUUGUCAACAUUUCUUUAUUCAUGCGAAUUGGGAACGUGUUUAUUUUAAGUAUCUUGUCAACAUUUCUUUAUUCAUGCGGAUUGGGAACGUGUUUAUUUUAGGUAUCUUGUCAACAUUUCUUUAUUUAUGCGGAUUGGGAACGUGUUUAUUUUAAGUAUCUUGUCAACAUUUCUUUAUUCAUGCGGAUUGGGAACGUGUUUAUUUAAAGCAUCUUGUCAACAUUUCUUUAUUCAUGCGGAUUGGGAACGUGUUUAUUUUAAAUAUCUUGUCAACAUUUCUUUAUUCAUGCGGAUUGCGAACGUGUUUAUUUUAGACGAUCUGUUUCGAUUCCGUGCUUUCUUCAUGCAACCAGUCGAUUUUUGCUUUAUAGCACUACUCUAAGACAAUGAAGCAAAAUAUCAUUCUUCAUGCCUUACCGACCAGGCCUCAACUCGAGAAUUACUAUUGUAGUUAUUUCCUUACAUUAUCAAUUUUUUUUUGUACUUUGGACAAAAUUUUUGUCGUAUUCAAUAUAAUUUUUGCAAAAUCAUAUAUAACGUAUAAACUUUGAAAAUCUUUGUUGUUCUUUAGCCGGGACGAUUGUUAUCAGUUCACCUUUUGAUCGAAAGUUUUGGACAUGAAAGUUAGGAUAUUUGCCGUAUUUAUUUAACGUAAACAUGGGGAAAUGAUCUGGACGGCAAACCAUAUACAAUUCCAACUUUUAACUUUUUUUGUAAAAACUAACAUUGUUUUGGCACGAUUUAUGCUUUUAACCCAUUCUUAAACAAAGAUGGUAAUUUUAAACUCCAGACUGUAUUCGCAAUUAUUCUGAAAUCGACGAAGUUGUAAAAUCAAAUCAGUGCAAUUUAAAAGAAAUGAAAUGGAAAAUCCCAAUGUAUUUUAGAAAAGUCGUCUAUAUGUAUAUAUAGUACCGAAAGUAAUCUCUUAAUUCCACCAAUUUGCGAUAACUGUUUGCAUGGGAUAAUUGCAAUAUGCCUGCCUGAAGCAACUCAGACAUAUAACAGGCAAGUUGGACUGGUUUCACCUAUCCCAGUAUGUCAGUGACUACAUGCCAGGGCCAACAAAUAUUAUUUUGAAUCAUAAAUCGUAUUGACGCUCGUGUUUCAGACAUGCUCCUGGCAAAUAUACACCAGUAUACAAAUAUACACCAAUCUUAGGCCUAGUCUGUACCUCUAUCUAGAAAAAUAAAUAAUUUGUUUCAUUUUUUUGGUUUAUGGAAAACACAACGUUUAUUUUUUUGACAAAUAAAAGUAGUAUACAUAUAUAGUAUAUAUAAUAGUCCUGUAUAGAUGAAUAAAUUGAUAAGCGUGGUGUUAUCCACAAACCAAGAAGAUAUUUUCAUCGCCAUGUAAACAUGCAAAUGAACAACAUGAACAUAUGGUCAGAUUCAUGCAUUUAUAGUUACUGCCGUCUAAGGUUGCACCAGAUACGAUAUCCAGCCGGAGAUCAUCCAUUGAUCCGUUAUUCCAAUGGAUAUUAGAAUGUCCAGUCGGAUUUUAAAGGCCUUUCUGUCAGGUUAAUUUGAGAAAUAAAAAUGUUGAACUUUUUGAGGGGCCCAAAAUUUUUAUGCUUAAAAAUGUUUUCACUUUUUGAGGUGCCCAAAAUUUUGUAAACAUACUUAGCU